UCUGCGCACCGCCGCUUCCACAAUUGAAAGGAAAAUUUUACUACUUAUAUAAAAGCAGGAUUUUUACCAUGAAAAAUCAUUCCACUUUCGCCUUCGUUUAGGAUCUCAUACCUUCUCAGCAACCGCUAAGGUUCUACCACCAACCAAAAAUGCAAUUCGGCAAAUUCUUCUUUAUCUUAAUGGUCGUCGCCCUCGUUCUGGGAGUAGUUUUCGUUCCAGAAGCCGAAGCCGGCAAUCAUAAUCAUGGAAGAGGAAACCAAGGUAUUGGCGCUCUCCUGACUGCUGGACUCCUGGCCAAGGUUCUCGAACAUCAACACCAUGGAUGUCAUCACGGAUGAUAAGAGAAGCUUACACCAACUAUGGUCAUCCCUUCUCAUGCCUCAUCAUUCCGCUUUGUACAUAAAUUUAGAGAACUUACAGAGAUUUUAUAUUUCACUGUCAAUAAACAUCCACUGAUCACUUGA